rnacentral:sRNA from 1 species
ACUAAUUUGGUAUCUAAUUACAAAGAAUGAUAGUAAGUUUCUUAGAAAAUAAUUAGAGCUUUUUUCCACAAGUCCAAAAUGAAAAUCGUAAUGUAACGCGGAAAUUUGCAUAAAAGUUACUUAUAUUGGUCAAAUUGAUGUAUGU